AUAAGUGGUGGGUAAGACGGGUGCCAGCCGCCGCGGUAACACCCGCGCCACAAGUGGCGAUCGCUAUUAUUGGGCCUAAAGCGUCCGUAGCAGGUUCUACAACUCUCCUGUGAAAUUGUUGCGCUCAACGUAACAGCGGGCAGGAGACACUUUAGAACUUGGGACCGGGAGGAGUGAGAGGUAUUUCGUGGGGAGCGGUAAAAUGCUAUAAUCCACGAAGGACUACCAAUGGCGAAGGCAUCUCACCAGAACGGAUCCGACUGUGAGGGACGAAAGCUAGGGGAGCGAACCGGAUUAGAUUUCGAGGUUCUCGACUAAAAAACAUAUCAUCUGUUCACUUUUGAACAACUACUGGAUGAAAUGAAAAUGGAGAACAUAACUCGACUAAAUACCCGAGUAGUCCUAGCCGUAAACGCUGCGAGCUAGGUGUUGCACAAUCUUCGAGAUUGUGCAGUAUCGAAGCGAAGGUGAU
rnacentral:rRNA from 1 species